AUUGAACGCUGGCGGCAGGCUUAACACAUGCAAGUCGAGCGGAGAUGAGGUGCUUGCACCUUAUCUUAGCGGCGGACGGGUGAGUAAUGCUUAGGAAUCUGCCUAUUAGUGGGGGACAACAUUCCGAAAGGAAUGCUAAUACCGCAUACGUCCUACGGGAGAAAGCAGGGGAUCUUCGGACCCUGCGCUAAUAGAUGAUCCUAAGUCGGAUUAGCUAGUUGGUGGGGUAAAGUCCUACCAAGGCGACGAUCUGUAGCGGGUCUGAGAGGAUGAUCCGCCACACUGGGACUGAGACACGGCCCAGACUCCUACGGGAGGCAGCAGUGGGGAAUAUUGGACAAUGGGGCGAACCCUGAUCCAGCCAUGCCGCGUGUGUGAAGAAGGCCUUAUGGUUGUAAAGCAAUUUAAGCGAGGAGGAGGCUACUGAGACUAAUACUCUUGGAUAGUGGACGUUACUCGCAGAAUAAGCACCGGCUAACUCUGUGCCAGCAGCCGCCGUAAAAC
rnacentral:rRNA from 1 species